AUUGAACGCUGGCGGCAGGCCUAACACGUGCAAGUCGAACGGUAGCACAGGGAGCUUGCUCUCGGGUGACGAGUGGCGGACGGGUGAGUAACGUCUGGGAAACUGCCCGAUGGAGGGGGAUAACUACUGGAAACGGUAGCUAAUACCGCAUAACGUCGCAAGACCAAAGUGGGGGACCUUCGGGCCUCACGCCAUCGGCUGCGCCCAGAUGGGAUUAGCUAGUAGGUGGGGUAAUGGCUCACCUAGGCGACGAUCCCUAGCUGGUCUGAGAGGAUGACCAGCCACACUGGAACUGAGACACGGUCCAGACUCCUACGGGAGGCAGCAGUGGGGAAUAUUGCACAAUGGGCGCAAGCCUGAUGCAGCCAUGCCGCGUGUAUGAAGAAGGCCUUCGGGUUGUAAAGUACUUUCAGCGGGGAGGAAGGCGGUGAAGUUAAUAACUUCACCGAUUGACGUUACCCGCAGAAGAAGCACCGGCUAACUCCGUGCCAGCCGCCGCGGUAA
rnacentral:rRNA from 1 species